UCCCUGGUGGUCUAGUGGCUAAGGAUCAAGGCCUGAGCUCUUACUGCUGUGGCCUGGGUUCAAUUCCUGGCCAGGGAC